rnacentral:rRNA from 3 species
CAUGUCCUUUUGAUGAUGAUUUAAGGUCUGAUCUGCUCAAUGAAAUUUAAAUAGCCGCAGUAUUUUGACUGUGCAAAGGUAGCAUAAUAAUUAGUUUCUUAAUUAGGAACUGGUAUGAAUGAUUGGACAAGAGAAUAGCUGUCUCUUUUUUAAUUUUGUUGAAUUUUAUUUUUAAGUGAAAAAGCUUAAAUUUGUAUAAAAGACGAGAAGACCCUAUAGAGUUUAAUAUUUUUAAUUAAAUUGGUAUUAGAAUUUUAUUUUGGUUAGAUUUAUUUGGUUGGGGUGAUUUAAAGAUUAACUAAAUUCUUUAAUAAUUUAAUUAGUGAUGUCUAAAUUUUAAAUCUAUAUUUUAUAAAUAUAAAAUAAAUUACCUUAGGGAUAACAGCGUAAUUUUUCUUUAAAGUUCUUAUUAAAAGAAAAGUUUGCGACCUCGAUGUUGGAUUAAAAUUAAUUUUUGGUGCAGUAACUUAAAAAUUGGGUCUGUUCGACCUUUAAAAUUUUACAUGAUCUGAGUUUAAACCGGUGUAAACCAGGUUGGAUUCUAUCUUUAGAAAGUUAAUAUAUUUUAGUACGAAAGGACCAAAUAUAUAUUAUAUUAAUU